rfam:Nakamurella multipartita DSM 44233, complete genome.
UUCGGCGGUUAUAGCGUGAGGGAAACGCCCGGUCCCAUUCCGAACCCGGAAGCUAAGCUUCACUGCGCCGAUGGUACUGCACCUGCGAGGGUGUGGGAGAGUAGGACACCGCCGGAC